rnacentral:rRNA from 1 species
GACGAACGCUGGCGGCGUGCUUAACACAUGCAAGUCGAACGGUGAAGCGCCUUCCUUUUUGGUGGGUGUGGAUGAGUGGCGAACGGGUGAGUAACACGUGAGUAACCUGCCCCCUUCUUCUGGAUAACCGCAUGAAAGUGUGGCUAAUACGGGAUAUUCCGGGUCUGUCGCAUGAUGGGUCUGGGAAAGAUAUUGUUUCGGUGGGGGAUGGGCUCGCGGCCUAUCAGCUUGUUGGUGGGGUGAUGGCCUACCAAGGCGGUGACGGGUAGCCGGCCUGAGAGGGUGGACGGUCACACUGGGACUGAGACACGGCCCAGACUCCUACGGGAGGCAGCAGUGGGGAAUAUUGCACAAUGGGCGCAAGCCUGAUGCAGCGACGCCGCGUGAGGGAUGGAGGCCUUCGGGUUGUGAACCUCUUUCGCCAGUGAAGCAGGCCUGCCUCGUUUGUGGGUGGGUUGACGGUAGCUGGAUAAGAAGCGCCGGCUAACUACGUG